rnacentral:sRNA from 1 species
UAGAAGUGGCAGAGACAGGAAUGGAGACAAGGCGGCGGAGGCGGGAGGCGGGAAGGAAUCCCAGCUGCA